CAGCCGCGUAAUUCCAGCUCCAAUAGCGUAUAUUAAAGUUGUUGCAGUUAAAAAGCUCGUAGUUGAAUUUCGGGAUUGACACAUCGGUCGUGCCUUAAGGGGUAUGAACUGGUGUAGUCAAUUUCUCACCUUCUGGAGAACCGCGAUGCCCUUAAUUGGGUGCCGCGGGGAACCAGGACCUUUACUUUGAAAAAAUUAGAGUGUUUAAAGCAGGCAUUUUGCUUGAAUACAUUAGCAUGGAAUAAUAAAAUAGGACGGCAUGAUUCUAUUUUGUUGGUUUCUAGGAUCACCGUAAUGAUUAAUAGGGAUAGUUGGGGGCAUUAGUAUUCAAUUGUCAGAGGUGAAAUUCUUGGAUUUAUUGAAGACUAACUACUGCGAAAGCAUUUGCCAAGGAUGUUUUCAUUAAUCAAGAACGAAAGUUAGGGGAUCGAAGACGAUCAGAUACCGUCGUAGUCUUAACCAUAAACUAUGCCGACUAGGAAUCAGACGAUGUUAAUUUUUUAAUGACUCGUUUGGCACCUUACG
rnacentral:misc_RNA from 1 species